rnacentral:pre_miRNA from 1 species
AAUAAAUGACGCCGUUGACUUUUUCUCACAUGUUUGACCCUUCGUUUUAUUCAAAAAAUUUACCUAAUUAUAAUUUAUUUUGUUAUGAGUUGUUUUAUCAUUCAUAGUACUUUAAGUGUGAUUUAUAUAUUAUACAUUUGCAUAAAAUUUUUAAAUAAGACAAAUGGUCAAACAUAUAUGAAAAAGUCAAUGACGUCAUCUAUU